GACAGUUGUUAGAAGGCUGAGACAACUUUAGAAACAGAUAGAAAAAGUUUCCUCUUGAUCACUAUUUAAAGGAGACAAGAUGUUGCACAGCCAUGGCUGGAAACUUGGAAUAUGGAAAUAAGUAUCAUUUGACUUUGCUGUUUAGACGCUGGCUUGGGGACCCACAGAGGCACUAAAGAACAGUAGUACAAAUUGCUUCUAUGGAGAAAGAUAAGUAUAACUAUCACCCUACAUCAAAGAAAGUCUCUACAGAAAAUGAAGAGAAAUCCAUUACAGAAAUCCAUACCUGAACUCAGUGCACAGAUCAAUGGACUGUCUUGUGGGGAGGUCUAACCCCAGUGGAUAAAUAGGAGCUCAAGAAGCAUCCUAGAAGAAGCAGUAGGGAUAUUAUAAGAACCAGGAUGCCAGUAGGUGGGCUGUGUGAACCCUUCUCUUAGAAAUGAUUCCAUAAACACAAUCCAGUGGUGUUUGUAUGAUAACAUCUAUAAACAUGAUAAACUGGAAGGGGAAAAUUGUACGUGGCUGCAACCCCAG
rnacentral:lncRNA from 1 species